AUUGAACGCUGGCGGCAUGCCUUACACAUGCAAGUCGAACGGUAACAGGUCUUCGGAUGCUGACGAGUGGCGAACGGGUGAGUAAUACAUCGGAACGUGCCUAGUAGUGGGGGAUAACUACUCGAAAGAGUGGCUAAUACCGCAUGAGAUCUACGGAUGAAAGCAGGGGAUCGCAAGACCUGGUGCUACUAGAGCGGCCGAUGGCAGAUUAGGUAGUUGGUGGGAUAAAAGCUUACCAAGCCGACGAUCUGUAGCUGGUCUGAGAGGACGAUCAGCCACACUGGGACUGAGACACGGCCCAGACUCCUACGGGAGGCAGCAGUGGGGAAUUUUGGACAAUGGGCGCAAGCCUGAUCCAGCAAUGCCGCGUGCAGGAUGAAGGCCUUCGGGUUGCAAACUGCUUUUGUACGGAACGAAAAGCCCCGGGUUAAUACCCUGGGGUCAUGACGGUACCGUAAGAAUAAGCACCGGCUAACUACGUGCCAGCCGCCGCUGUAA
rnacentral:rRNA from 1 species